ensembl:snoRNA
GCAGUGUGUGCAGAGCCAGGGGCCUGAAGAAGGCCUCCUCUGUCUGCGACACACUCCACAGGAAUCUGGGAUCACGGUGGGGGGCACAAAAGGGGUGACCUUUCUACGAACAAAUCCCUACCUCU